UACGUAGGGUGCAAGCGUUAAUCGGAAUUACUGGGCGUAAAGCGUGCGCAGGCGGUUUUGUAAGUCUGACGUGAAAUCCCCGGGCUUAACCUGGGAAUUGCAUUUGUGACUGUACGGCUAGAGUGUGUCAGAGGGGGGUAGAAUUCCACGUGUAGCAGUGAAAUGCGUAGAGAUGUGGAGGAAUACCGAUGGCGAAGGCAGCCCCCUGGGAUAACACUGACGCUCAUGCACGAAAGCGUGGGGAGCAAACAGG
rnacentral:rRNA from 1 species